rnacentral:rRNA from 1 species
CGAGGAGGGCCAAGCUUAACAUGUAAGUCGAACGAUGAAGCCCAGCUUGCUGGGUGGAUUAGUGGCGAACGGGUGAGUAACACGUGAGCAACCUGCCCCUGACUCUGGGAUAAGCGCUGGAAACGGCGUCUAAUACUGGAUACGAACAAGAAUCGCAUGGUUACUUGUUGGAAAGAUUUUUCGGUUGGGGAUGGGCUCGCGGCCUAUCAGCUUGUUGGUGAGGUAAUGGCUCACCAAGGCGUCGACGGGUAGCCGGCCUGAGAGGGUGACCGGCCACACUGGGACUGAGACACGGCCCAGACUCCUACGGGAGGCAGCAGUGGGGAAUAUUGCACAAUGGGCGCAAGCCUGAUGCAGCAACGCCGCGUGAGGGAUGACGGCCUUCGGGUUGUAAACCUCUUUUAGCAGGGAAGAAGCGAGAGUGACGGUACCUGCAGAAAAAGCACCGGCUAACUACGUGCCAGCAGCCGCGGUAAUACGUAGGGUGCAAGCGUUAUCCGGAAUUAUUGGGCGUAAAGAGCUCGUAGGCGGUUUGUCGCGUCUGCUGUGAAAUCUGGGGGCUCAACCCCCAGCCUGCAGUGGGUACGGGCAGACUAGAGUGCGGUAGGGGAGAUUGGAAUUCCUGGUGUAGCGGUGGAAUGCGCAGAUAUCAGGAGGAACACCGAUGGCGAAGGCAGAUCUCUGGGCCGUAACUGACGCUGAGGAGCGAAAGGGUGGGGAGCAAACAGGCUUAGAUACCCUGGUAGUCCACCCCGUAAACGUUGGGAACUAGUUGUGGGGUCCAUUCCACGGAUUCCGUGACGCAGCUAACGCAUUAAGUUCCCCGCCUGGGGAGUACGGCCGCAAGGCUAAAACUCAAAGGAAUUGACGGGGACCCGCACAAGCGGCGGAGCAUGCGGAUUAAUUCGAUGCAACGCGAAGAACCUUACCAAGGCUUGACAUAUACGAGAACGGGCCAGAAAUGGUCAACUCUUUGGACACUCGUAAACAGGUGGUGCAUGGUUGUCGUCAGCUCGUGUCGUGAGAUGUUGGGUUAAGUCCCGCAACGAGCGCAACCCUCGUUCUAUGUUGCCAGCACGUAAUGGUGGGAACUCAUGGGAUACUGCCGGGGUCAACUCGGAGGAAGGUGGGGAUGACGUCAAAUCAUCAUGCCCCUUAUGUCUUGGGCUUCACGCAUGCUACAAUGGCCGGUACAAUGGGCUGCAAUACCGUGAGGUGGAGCGAAUCCCAAAAAGCCGGUCCCAGUUCGGAUUGAGGUCUGCAACUCGACCUCAUGAAGUCGGAGUCGCUAGUAAUCGCAGAUCAGCAACGCUGCGGUGAAUACGUUCCCGGGUCUUGUACACACCGCCCGUCAAGUCAUGAAAGUCGGUAACACCUGAAGCCGGUGGCCUAACCCCUUGUGGGAGGGAGCGUCGAAAUAGGGGUUUCGGC